GUUGAAAGAGAGAGGGGAAAUGUCUGGGGGUAUAAAACAACUGUUAAAAUACUGUUUCGAGCUGUGCUCAGGAAUGUGUUGGCUGAUUGAGGAAACUCACGAGACCGAUAGCGAAAAUUGGAAAACCACACACGCAGGUGAACCACUAAUGGGUCGCCUACAGACGACGGGAUUUUUCAAACCGUUUGGUUGUUUUCUUUUUCAAGAGUCCACACUGUUGCCGAUCCGUUAAUGGUCGUAUAAAACCUAAGAAAAAUCAUUAACCGAUUAUUUCAGAGCCCUUCUUUUUUUCCCUCCAACUUGAAAAAUUUUUAUUUUCAAUUUCUGUUAUUUCCUGCCGGGAGAAACGAUCGAAAUCGAAACUAUUUUGGAAAUUAAAGAUGGAGGCGAAGGAAAGAGGAGGGCUGAAGAAUUAACCCGCCAAACACUUUUAGUCUGCAGCCGGUGACCCCCCAUCACUUUCUACCAGAUUCUCAGUGCCUAAACAUGCCUAUGGUGUGGAACAAAAAUAAGGGAGAGACCUGUCAUAAGAGCACGUUGUUUGUGUGUGCGUACCGUACCGCCAUGGCAUAUCUCGUCGAAGGAAGAUGGCUGCCGGAAUUUUUUCAAAAAUUUUUUCCCUACACACACACUCUUGAAAAAUGACGUCGCUGCUCCAGUGUCUUAUACAGGAGCCCGACUUGGCAAUAUUAGACGUGACGGGUGUGACUGUGUCCGGUGACCGUGUCGGCGCGGAUGUUUGAUGGGAUGAUUUUGAUGAUGAUGGCGCCCCCGAAAAUAAAAGAAAGAAAGAAAGAAGAAAACCAGCGUUUCCUUCGGUUCCUCUAUCCACUUUUGGGCCUCUCACGAAAAGAAGGAAGAAGAAGAAGAA